rnacentral:rRNA from 1 species
AAAAACCGACACAGGUAGUCGAGGAGAGUAUCCUAAGGCGCUCGAGUGAUCCGUGGCUAAGGAACUAGGCAAAAUGGUCUCGUAACUUCGGGAGAAUAGACUCCCCUCGUGAGAGGGGACGCAGUGAAGAGGCCCAGGCGACUGUUUAACAAAAACACAGGACUCUGCAAAAUCGUAAGAUGAAGUAUAGGGUCUGACACCUGCCCGGUGCUGGAAGGUUAAGGAAGGGGGUUAGUGCGCAAGUGCGAAGCUCUUAACUGAAGCCCCAGUAAACGGCGGCCGUAACUAUAACGGUCCUAAGGUAGCGAAAUUCCUUGUCGGGUAAGUUCCGACCUGCACGAAUGGUGUAACGAUCUGGGCGCUGUCUCAGCCACGAGCUCGGUGAAAUUGAAGUAUCGGUGAAGAUGCCGAUUACCCGCAACGGGACGGAAAGACCCCGUGAACCUUUACUACAACUUCACAUUGAGCUUGAAUACAGGAUGUGUAGGAUAGGUGGGAGGCUACGAAGCUGUGACGCUAGUCAUGGUGGAGCCAACGUUGAAAUACCACCCUUCCUGUAUUUAGGUUCUAAUCCCUAAAAGGGAAACAGUGUGUGGUGGGUAGUUUGACUGGGGUGGUCGCCUCCAAAAAAGUAACGGAGGCUCGCAAAGGUACACUCAGCAUGGUCGGUAAUCAUGCGAAGAGCGUAUUAGUAUAAGUGUGCUUGACUGAGAGACCGACGGGUCGAUCAGGAACGAAAGUUGGCUAAAGUGAUCCGGUGUUUCCGCAUGGAAGGGACAUCGCUCAAAGGAUAAAAGGUACUCCGGGGAUAACAGGCUGAUCCUACCCAAGAGCUCAUAUCGACGGUAGGGUUUGGCACCUCGAUGUCGGCUCGUCACAUCCUGGGGCUGGAGAAGGUCCCAAGGGUUGGGCUGUUCGCCCAUUAAAGUGGCACGCGAGCUGGGUUCAGAACGUCGCAAGACAGUUCGGUCCCUAUCUGUUGUGGGCGCAGGAAUAUUGAAGGGAGCUGAUUCUAGUACGAGAGGACCGAAUUGGACGUACCGCUAGUGUACCGGUUGUGGCGCCAGCUGCACCGCCGGGUAGCUAUGUACGGCAAGGAUAAGCGCUGAAAGCAUCUAAGCGCGAAGCCAUCCCUAAGAUGAGUAUUCCAGCACGUAAGUGUAAAGGACCCCAGAAGACUACUGGGUUGAUAGGUUAUAGGUGGAAGUGCAGUAAUGUGCGUAGCCGAGUAAUACUAAUUGUCCGACAGCUUCCU